CCCUGCCCUCAGAAGCUCACAUUCCAUGGGGAGGAGGACAGACAAGCAAAGAGAUCUAGAAUGUGAUGUCAGGGACUGACAAGUGCCACGAAGGGAACAGAGCAGGGAAAGGUCAGACAGUGAAGACAGAGGGUCUUUACAGCAGGUGGUCAGGGAAGACAUCUCCCAAGGAUGCCCCUGAGAGUGAGCAGGGCUCUGAGGGCAGUUGGCAAGUGAGCCA